GGGACACACGGCACAACCCCCUCCCCGCCGCUGCGCCGGGGUCGCGCACACGCAGCCCGGUCAGCCGCCGAGCCCGCUGACAAACCGGUCCCCCCACCCCUUUCUUCCUGUGCAGAUGGAGCAUGGAGAAGGGGCUGCGGAGGGACCUGCCGAGCCCCCCCGGGCCCGGGGACAGCGCCAGACACCGCCCGGCCGGCCCCGUCCUCCUGCACUGAGCGUCUUGCUGAGGUAGCGGAAAGAAAAGAAACCAAACUCACGUGUCGGUUUUUUCAGAGGCAGACCCUCACGUGAAUCCCAUGAAACACAGGUCUUGGUCAACCUCACUCAGGAUUAAGUGCUUCUGGCAGUGGCUGAAGAGGAGGGUCGAGCCCUCUGCAGCUACAGGUGGUGGAAGUUGCGUUGUUUACUGACCUUGGUGAGGAAACACCAUCUCGGGCAGCAAACCUCGACCUCUGCAACACACAAAACGCCAACCCGAGAAGAAUGAGGCAUAAAGGGAGCAAGUUACCGAAGUCCCAUGCGCCAGCACUGCAGACGGAACCAGAAUUACCAGCCAGGCGUCCCCCGGGUGUUGCCCUUAUGGAAACACAAGCUGUUGGCCGUUUUCUCUACAUACACCUCUUGUGCUGUACAGUCGCUGCUUCCACUUGGUGUCACGAACCCCACGAAGACCAAGGGCUGAGCCCCUGAGCUGCCCGAGGAAGGCGGGCGCAGCGAAAAAUGCUGUAAGUCUGCAUUUCUCUACCAUUUUUAAAAACUAGAGCUGGGAGCUGGGGUGGAGAACACGUGUUAAAAUUACAAAGUGGUUGGUGCGUGGGAGAAAAAGCGACUUUGAUGAAAUAAUGAGGUGAUGCUCAUAGAUCCCAACUAGUGGAGGUUUCUUUAAGUGAAGUUUGAACUCAGCCCUUCUUGCAAUUCUGUGAUUUGAAUAUCGUUUGAAUAUCGUUUUCACAAGCCUUGCGAGAUGCGGAUGGAUGAGAGAUUCCUGGCUUGGAGUCAAAUGCUGCAGUAAUUAAAUGUUUAUAAAACACGUUAAGCAUGCAAAGUGCUGCUAUCAUAGACAAGACACCAAUAGACCGCGGCAGUCGGAGCUGGAGUUUGAGGCACAGCAGCAAACACAGCUCGUUUCUCCUGCUCCAUCUCUGCUAGAGGAUCACGGAGACCAUCACCAGGUACCUUUUAUUAGAACCAGAAUAAGUCAAACCAGAAUACGAACAUAUGUGAUACAUAAGUUUUUCCCUCUGCAAUAAACACCCAGGCAGAGGCCCAGCUUGCGGUUUUUCUCGUGAAGGAACUACCCCUUGGGAAAGGAGAAAUUGCUGCUACUUCUGAUCUCUCACAUAAAACCGAAGAGCUUCCACCUGGUACAGGUUUCUAACACCAUCUGCUGUUUAAAAAUAAGACAGCAUUUGAGCCGAGCAGCACGCGAGUUUGUACUUGUUUGAUAAGCCAGGAGUGGCACUGGCUCAUCUAGGAUUAAUUGGCACAUUUCACUUUUGUUCUUUCAAACCCUGAACAUAUUUUGACUUGAUCUUAAUUAUGAGGCGAGUUAUUUCUUCGCUAGAAGAUGCAGCAGCCCAAUGAGCCCCACAAAACUGAACUUUUCCUCCAGUCACAGGACCCAUCUGUCUUUUCAGUGCCAAAGCAGAUUUGGAAGCAGCGUCACUCCAAAUCCUGACCCAGAGAACUACUUACAAACUGUUUCUUAGGAGGGAGCCAUCGGCUCCACAGGAUACGAGGAACUCAAAGCAAAUAGUUCUUUCCAUUAAAUAUAUUUAACUUUUGCUGUCUCACGCUGCUGCCUGUGCGACAGAAUAAAUAACCAAGGGUUCUUUUACUGCUUCCCAAUUGAAAGCAAUACACAUUUUUGCCGCAGGAAAACACCAGAGCCCUGGGGUUUGUAACACUUGGACACCACUCACCACCAAUGCUCCCGCUUUUCGUUGCACGUGUUAAAAAGCAGGGGAGGGUAUUCUUAAAAACAACGGAUCGCAGCCUUUCACCCCGAGACAACGCAGCAGUUUUAUUGCCACGUGUUGAGCCAAAAAUCACCCCAAACCUUCCAGUCUAACACCAAACCCAGGACGCAGCUGCGCGAUCCUCACGCCGCACGACAGCCCGUUUACACCAUCGCCCUCCAGAUUUCCCACUUCUAACCCCUCCACACACACCAUUUAGAGUCAGCGCCUUCUUUUGUGAGCCAGCGGCUCCUUCCCCCGGCACUUUUACACGCGCUUCUCCACAAAAGGGACCUUUACAUGUCAAUUUAUUUUCAGACAAGCAUAUCUGAAAGGGAGUUUCUCUCCGGAGUAGAAUGAGUUCUAAUGGCAGGUGUUCCAGCGCCACACAAAGGGAGGAAGGCAGCGCCUUAGCUCAGCUUAAGUAGUAAGACAAAUUGAUGUUUUAAUAACCAAGGAAAUGGAGUGGCAGCGGACCCCCGGCUUCCACGGCGUGAAUGAAGGUUUCAUUCACAGCCCCUUCUGUACUUGCAAAAGACGACCUUGAAAUGUUUUCAAUGUUUUCUGCGCGUUCAAAGAGGGAUUAAAUUGUUGAAUAUUACAUGAAAGCGCAGCAUCCGCCCCACAUACCGUCAAACGCGUUUGAAGUCGCCGAGUAUUUCCGAAGCCUCCCACGUUCCCAGGAAGGCGGCGGUGGCCACAAGGAGCUGGUGGCACCCGGGAGGCCACCGGCUGCGUGGUUCACUGGCCACCGGUGGCAAAAGAGGCAGGAAAAAACACUUACAUGAACUAACUCGAAGGUGGGGACUCGAGGGUGUUUGUAUCAGUUGGAUGGGAAGUUAAAGACCAGGUCGGUUGCUCCAUGAAGUUUCACUAAAGAAGAAGAAUAUGAUUGCUGAGAAAGUUACUGGCUUUUGGUUUUAAAGAGCCUAAAAAAAUCACGGUGGGAACAAUUAUCAGGCC